UCAAAAUUGCAACUCCUCAUUAUUCAAUAUUGUGGUCGGCAACAAGGCUGUUUCUUAUAAAUUCUCGUUGGAUCUUCCUGACAUUAACUCUGCACAUAUCUUGAGGUACCGGCAACCGAUACGCAGCAUCAUCCCUCAGGAUUGUAGAAUCUUCCAGAAUCAUUCUUCAGACGUAAUCUCUCAGGUACCAGCAACCGAUACGCAGCAUCAUCCCUCAGGAUUGUAGAAUCUUCCAGAAUCAUUCUUCAGACGUAAUCUCUCAGGUAAGUGGGCUUCGAGACCUUCCUCUUAGUGCUACUUACUAUUCGCACCUCUGGCUCUGUUUGCAUUACGUGUUCUGCACCAUUUUCCACUACUUGCACCUUAGUAAUUGCUAUACUAUCAUUAAACAUGAGCUUUUUUCAACUCUCCUAAUAGUGGCAUUUAUUAGUGAAGGUAGGGGAAUGAUCCUAGAUAGAUUGAAAAUAUUAAGCAAGGAAAACAAAUGUAGAAAUUCUUAAAAAAUGAAAUAAGAAGUCACAUUCUCUAGACGCCAAAGAAGAGCAGUUUUGAAUUGGCAAACACCACUCCCACUUGAAUGCAGAUCUAGUCUGUGAACAAUAGACAUAGUAA